UCAAGUUACUAAGGGCGCACGGGGGAUGUCUUGGCAUUAGAAGGCGAUGAAGGGCGUGGAAGUCUGCGAAAAGCUUGGGGGAGCUGACAAACGAGUGUUAAUCCCGAGAUACCCGAAUUAGCUUGUACUGAAUACAUAGGUACUUGUGGCCAACCCAGGGAACUGAAACAUCUAAGUACCUGGAGGAAUAGAAAGAAAAAUCGAUUCCGUAAGUAGCGGCGAGCGAAAGCGGAAUAGCCCAAACCGCAUGGGUUUCCCAGGCGGGGUUGUAGGGUCUUUCACAUGGGAGUUACAAAAUUCAAACUAGCGAAAGUGUCCUGGAUACGGCACACCACAGAGGGUGACAGUCCCGUACGCAAAAGUUUAGAAUCUCCCGAAGGAUACCUGAGUAGGUCGGAGCACGUGAAACUCCGACUGAAUCGACGGGGACCAUCCCGUAAGGCUAAAUACUCUCUAAUGACCGAUAGCGAACUAAGUAGAGCGAUCGAAAGGUGGGAAGAACCCCGGCUAGGGGAGGACACUGAACCUGAAACCGUGCGCUUACAAGCGGUCGGAGCACGAUUUAACGUGUGACGGCGUGCCUUUAGCAUAAUGAUCCGGCGAGUUACCGUUCAUGGCUCGGUUAAGCCUCUCAGGGGCGAAGCCAUAGGGAAACCGAGUCUUAAUAGGGCGACCAUUGUCAUGGGCGGUAGACGCGAAACCUGGUGAUCUACCCAUGAGCAGGUUGAAGCGCGGGUUAAACUGCGUGGAGGACCGAACCCACUUGGGUUGAAAACCGAGGGGAUGACUUGUGGGGAGGAGUGAAAGUCUAAUCAAACCAGGAGAUAGCUCGUUCUCUCCGAAAUAUAUUUAGGUAUAGCCUCGAGCAACUAUUCAUUGGGGGUAGAGAGACUGAAUUGGAUGGGGGCCCUUUCCAGGGUACCCCACUGAACCAAACUCCGAAUACCAUUGAAACUAUCUCGGGAGUCAGUCUGCGGGGGAUAAGCUCCGUGGUCAAGAGGGAAACAACCCAGAUCGUCGGCUAAGGUCCCUAAACUAUGCUCAGUCACUAAGGAAGUUGAAUCUCCGUGACAGCCAGGAUGUUGGCUUAGAAGCAGCCACCAUUUAAAAAGUGCGUAACAGCUUACUGGUCGAGAGAUUCUGCGCCGAUAAUGAACGGGAGUAAGCAUAGUACCGAAGCCGCGAACUCAGAUAAUCUUCGGAUGGUCUGUUUGGUAGGAGAGCGCUGUAGAGGAUAUACAAGCCAUACCGUAAGGAGUGGUGUCGGCCUCUACAGGUGAUUAUGCCGGAAUGAGUAACGAUAAAACAGGUGAGAAUCCUGUUCGCCGAAAGCCUAAGGUUUCCUGGGGAAGGUAAAUCCGCCCAGGGUUAGCCGGUGCCUAAGACGAGGCCGAAAGGCGUAGUCGAUGGACAGAAGGUUAAUAUUCCUUCGCCAUGUGUGUGGAGCGAUGGAGGGACGGCGUCCGAAAAGCAUGCGGACUGAUAGAAUAGUCCGUUGCUUGGCUACAAGAAUGGUAGUAGGAAAAUCCGCUACAGUAGGUUCAAGUAGCCGAGCUAACAGCACCUAAGAUCUGGAUGAUGUUGGCAGGACGUCCAAGAAAAACUUCUAAGUGUUGAAGCACACGUGACCGUACUAAAACUGACACAGGUAGGCGAGAUGAGAAGUCUCAGGCGCUCGGGAGAACGGUGAUUAAGGAACUCUGCAAAAUGGCCCCGUAAGUUCGCGAUAAGGGGCGCCUACGCAAGUAGGCCACAGAAAAUCGGCUCUAACGACUGUUUAUCAAAAACACAGGACGCUGCUAACACGUAAGUGGAUGUAUAGCGUCUGACGCCUGCCCGGUGCUGGUAGGUUAAGGAAGGCGGUUAGCUCUUCGGAGCGAAGCUGGCGACCGAAGCCCCAGUAAACGGCGGCCCUAACUAUGAGGGUCCUAAGGUAGCGAAGUUCCUUGUCGGGUAAGUUCCGACCUGCAUGAAAGGCGUAACGAUUGGAGCACUGUCUCAAUCACCGACCCGGUGAAAUUGUAGUCGUGGUGAAGAUGCCACGUACCCGCGGUUAGACGGAAAGACCCCAUGAACCUUCACUGUAGGCUGAUAUUGGGUUGAGGUACAUCUUGUGUAGUAUAGCUGGGAGGCUUUGAUCUGGGCGCGCUAGCGUUCAAGGAGCCAUCGUUGAAAUACCAGCCUGGAUUUACUUUAAUUCUAACCCUGUACCGUGAAACCGGUCAGGGAACAGUGUCAGUUGGGCAGUUUGACUGGGGCGGUCUCCUCCUAAAAAGUAACGGAGGAGUACAAAGGUCCACUCAGCCUGGUCGGCAAUCAGGCGAAGAGCGUAAAGGUAGAAGUGGGCUUAACUGCGAGACAAAUAAGUCGAGCAGAUACGAAAGUAGGUCUUAGUGAUCCGGUGAUUCCGAAUGGAAGGGUCAUCGCUCAUCAGAUAAAAGGUACUCUGGGGAUAACAGGCUUAUCGCAUCCGAGCGUCCACAGCGGCGAUGCGGUUUGGCACCUCGAUGUCGGCUCAUCACAUCCUGGGGGUGAAGAAGCUCCCAAGGGUUUGGCUGUUCGCCAAUGAAAGUGGUACGUGAGCUGGGUUCAGACCGUCGUGAGACAGGUCGGUCCCUAUCUGCCGCGGGCGUUCGAAACUUGAGGAGGUUCAACUUUAGUACGAGAGGAUUUGGUUGGACGAAGCUCUGGUGUACCAGUUGUCACGCUAGUGGCACGGCUGGAUAGCUAACUUCGGAAAGGAUAAACGCUGAAAGCAUCUAAGCGUGAAGCCCUCUCCUAGAUUAGGUUUCGUAAGUACUUUGUACGUAAGUCCCCAAGAAGAUUACUUGGUUGAUAGGCCAGAUGUGUAAGCACGGUAACGUGUUCAGCUAACUGGUACUAACGGACGAAUACUUGAC
rnacentral:rRNA from 1 species